UACGGAGGGUGCAAGCGUUAUCCGGAUUCACUGGGUUUAAAGGGUGCGUAGGAGGGCAGGUAAGUCAGUGGUGAAAUCUCCAAGCUUAACUUGGAAACUGCCGUUGAUACUAUCUGUCUUGAAUAUUGUGGAGGUGAGCGGAAUAUGUCAUGUAGCGGUGAAAUGCUUAGAUAUGACAUAGAACACCGAUUGCGAAGGCAGCUCACUACGCGAAUAUUGACACUGAGGCACGAAAGCGUGGGGAUCAAACAGG
rnacentral:rRNA from 1 species